rnacentral:rRNA from 1 species
GACGAACGCUGGCGGCGUGCUUAACACAUGCAAGUCGAACGAUGAAGUUCCUUCGGGAAUGGAUUAGUGGCGAACGGGUGAGGAACACGUGAGAAACCUGCCUUUCAUUUUGGGAUAACUCCGGGAAACCGGGGCUAAAACCGAAUACUCCGUCUCGGCGGCAUCGCUGAGCCGGGAAAAAAUUUUGAUGAAAGAUGGUCUCGCGGCCUAUCAGCUAGUUGGUGAGGUAAUGGCUCACCAAGGCAACGACGGGUAGCCGGCCUGAGAGGGCGACCGGCCACACUGGGACUGAGACACGGCCCAGACUCCUACGGGAGGAAGCAGUGGGGAAUAUGGGGCAAUGGGCGCAAGCCUGACCCAGCGACGCCGCGUGAGGGAUGAAGGCCUUCGGGUUGCAAACCUCUUUUAGUAGGGAAGAAGCGAAAGUGACGGUACCUGCAGAAAAAGCACCGGCUAACUACGUGCCAGCAGCCGCCGUAA